rnacentral:rRNA from 1 species
GACGAACGCUGGCGGCGUGCUUAACACAUGCAAGUCGAGCGGGUAAGGCCCUUUCGGGGUACGACGAGCGGCGAACGGUGAGUAACACGUGGGUGACCUGCCCUCAGCUCUGGGAUAAGCCUGGGAAACCGGGUCUAAUACUGGAUAUGACUCCAUGACGCAUGUUGUGGGGUGGAAAGCCUUGUGCGGCUGAGGAUGGGCCCG